AAGUUUCUUUCAUGUUCACAGCAUGAAUAACAGGAAUCGAUGGCUUAGUAUUUUCAUUGUGCAAAAGUACAGCUUUCAUACUAACUUUAGAUGAGACAAUAAAAAUAAAAAAAAAGUUUCCAUUCUUUGA